GGUUUGGGCCAAAAAUAUGGAAGCUAGGUAAGGUUGUUGUUCCCCUUGAUGGUCAUGUGCCUGUCUAAGCAAUUAGUCCAGGUACACCUUAGUACACGACCUAAACUCCAUAAGCCCAUGAAAUCAAUUAUGUGGACAAAUUUUACUGCUCAUUGUAGGCUUUUCAGCACCAGCUUCUAUGAUAUAACGAAAUAAUAAUCCUGUCUUCAAUUUAAAUAGCUCUGAGAUCUAAAGUAAUGGUCAAGAGAUAGACACAGGAAUAUUUGUAUGGUUAUAUAAGAGCUGAAAUUAAGUUAUUGCCUCCAGAAUGUCUACGGUAGGAGCCUUUUUUACCAAGGAUAUCUUUCUUGGUGAGGCCCAAAAGUAAGAGUUUAGAAGACAGCCAUAUAGCAUUAUAGUUCUGACCAUAAAUAACGUUGACUGAAGAUUGGCAGUAGUUCUAAGAUCGGCUUUACUGGCAGUCCCCGAGAAACCAUUGAGAAUUUGAGC
rnacentral:ncRNA from 1 species